rnacentral:lncRNA from 1 species
CUUAACUUUUCUUCCUACUAUCCACUCUCUCAUAUCAAUAUGAUAACAAUUACAUCAUCGAUUUCAGUACCCUGUGUAAUUCACAAACUUACAAGCACAACCCAAACCCUGAAACGAACAACUUCGAAUCCACAAAAUCUGAUCGAGACAAUUCCUUCGAUUACAAUUCCUCUCCACUGAACUUACAACCUUACGAUAAACAGUGGCUGGAAACUUCCAUACAUCAUCAAUCUUUCACAACAAUUGAUAAACAGUGAUCCAUAAACAACUUUGUAAAUCAAACAUUGAUUCAUUAAAUCAAUCAUUUUCACUAGAAUCAACACUAACACAAAAGAAAAAAGAAAACUAAGAAGAAAAGAUAGCACCAAGCUUAUUCUCGACUCAAUACUAUCACAGUUUGGCAUUUUCUUCCCCUCUCCCAUCCUCCUUAUACUACCCCGAGAUACCAAGUCCUAUACUACAGAUGAUAACUACUUUUUCUGACUAUUCAUCCAUUCUAUCUGUUGAACCACCUUUUCAACAAUUAUCUAUCCCUAUUUACACUAUACACUAGGUAUCUACAUUCUGAAAAUAACUACUUAUUCUACCUAGCUCCACUCCUAACUAAACAGUGUCCCCGCAAAUACAGUAUUGAUAAACAAAAACCAAUCCCUUUUUUUUUUAACUGGAUUAUUCAAUCUCUUCGAUUUCUGGCGCCGAUUCCAUUUGGUCUUGUUCCAAUACUAUAUCU